GAUGAACGCUGGCGGCGUGCCUAAUACAUGCAAGUCGAGCGAACAGACGAGGAGCUUGCUCCUCUGACGUUAGCGGCGGACGGGUGAGUAACACGUGGAUAACCUACCUAUAAGACUGGGAUAACUUCGGGAAACCGGAGCUAAUACCGGAUAAUAUAUUGAACCGCAUGGUUCAAUAGUGAAAGACGGUUGUGCUGUCACUUAUAGAUGGAUCCGCGCCGCAUUAGCUAGUUGGUAAGGUAACGGCUUACCAAGGCAACGAUGCGUAGCCGACCUGAGAGGGUGAUCGGCAACCCUGGAACUGAGACACGGUCCAGACUCCUACGGGAGGCAGCAGUAGGGAAUCUUCCGCAAUGGGCGAAAGCCUGACGGAGCAACGCCGCGUGAGUGAUGAAGGUCUUCGGAUCGUAAAACUCUGUUAUUAGGGAAGAACAAAUGUGUAAGUAACUAUGCACGUCUUGACGGUACCUAAUCAGAAAGCCACGGCUAACUACGUG
rnacentral:rRNA from 1 species